rnacentral:misc_RNA from 1 species
AACGCAAAUUGCACUCUCUUUGGAGAGUAUGCCUGUUUGAGGGUCAGUAUAAUUAAAAAUCGGUGUCGCAUAUUUUUGUGACGUUCCGGAGUUUGGGUUAUCUUAACCUUCUUUUAGGUUAAGAGACUUAAAAUUUAUAUCUUUUGCGCAUUUUUAGACGUACAUAAAUUUUUUUAUUAUUCGCCUAAUUUUAAUGCCAAAAUUUAUUAGAUGCGACCAUGUAUGGUUACGUGUCUAUAAUUUUUCAUGAUUUGACCUCAAAUCAGGUAGGAGUACCCGCUGAACUUAA